UUCCCCCAUAUUUUCUCUCUCCUCUUCAAAACCAUCUUCAUCUUCAUCUUCCCCCGUAUUUUCUCUCUCCUCUGUCAGGGUUGGUAGUCAUGGUCAUGGGUUUUCAUGAGGGUGGUGGUCGUGUGGUUGGUAGUCAUGGUCGUGGGUUUUCAUGAGGGUGGUGGUCGUGGGGUUGGUAGUGGUGGUACUGGUAGUGGUGAAGGGCCCGCGUUAAAGGCGGCAAUGGUGUUGGUUCGGUGAAGGGGGGGUCGUGGUUUUCGGUUCGAGUUGGGGGUUUUGUUUCGUGGUUCCGUUGAAUUGGGUUCUGGUGUUGGUACGGUGGUGUUAGUACGGUGAAGGCGGUGGGUGGCCGCGGAUCUGGGUUCUGGUGGGUGGGUUUUGGUGGUUCCAUCGGUGGGUUUUGGUGGGUGGUCGUUGUUCUGGGUUUUGGUGUGUUCGUGGAGGUGGUGGUUCCGUCGGUGGGUUUUCGUGAGGUAGGGUUGGUUACGUGGGGUUGGUUGUGGUGGUGGUUUCGUGGGGGUGGUAGUGGUGGUGUUGGUGAAGCAGACGGUGGUGUUGGUGAAGGCGACGGUGGUGUUGGCUGGUUUUGGUGGUGGUAGUGGGUGGUUGAUUAAUUUUCAUAACAUUCUCUCUCCACCUUAAUUACAUACCCCUAUAAUACAUUAAUCACCAUUAUCAUUUUUUGCUUCGUGAACCGCAAAAAGCCUCAAAGUUGCACAUAAAAAAAAACCGGAGGUAGUAUACGAAGUUGAAUGUUGCCUGUUGAGCUCUUGGGAGCACUAAUUGUCUAGGAGUGUUUAUUUGUGUGCAUUUACAUCUUGACGAGGAUAUAUUAAUGAUUGUUAAGAUUUUGAAACUGAUUUACCUUUCAUUCACUUCAAAAUCUUCUAGGUUAAGAUAUGGGAUCCAAGUCUUCGUGGUUCUAAGCUUCGGGCCACUUUGCAAGGCCAUACCGGGUUAAACAGCAGCAACAGCCAGCACCAGGCAGGCACAGCACCAGACAACAGCUAACAGCCAGCAGAUAGCCAACAAGCUUUGCAAAACCAGGAUGCACCGCAAGAAUGGCCAAUUUGCAUCUUUGAGAGAAGGUUCGACAUCUUUCAAUUUGGAAGCUAAAAAGAACUUAGUGGUUGGUAGAAGCCUGGGACCAGAAACUGUUUCAAACAAGUGUCAGCAUUGUGGUAUUAGUGAAAAUGAUACACCAGUUAUGCGACGCGGACCAGCUGGUCCAAGAACCUUGUGCAAUGCUUGCGGACUGAUGUGGGCCAACAAG